GGAAGCAGGGGAGGAGAAGCUCACAGGCUCCCGUGGCAGGCAUUGGGAGCGUCAGGAGAAGGCUUCUGUCUAUGGAGUUCCAGGACCAGUUUGACCUUAGCAGGGGAAGGCUUGAGAGAGGGGCAGAAGGCACAGCCUGAGGCAUGGAGGCUAUGGAGUCUUUUUAGGUGCCAGUGAGCAUGUGGAUGGGGUGGAGCAUGUACAGGGCCCCUCUGCUGUGGGGGUGGUCUGGGGAUUGGGACUGGGAACCAGGGAAGGGCAGUCAGGCCCUAAUGGCCUCCAGUGGCUCCAUUCCUAGCACAGUGUGAGGUGUCAGGAAAUCAAUCAGCUGUGACCACCUGAUUCUCCUGAUCUGACUGAGUCUGCUGAGUGAGUGACUGACCCCUGAAAAUAGCCUGUCACCGUCCUAGCGGUCCUGGGGCCUCGGGCCAGCCUUAUUAGCAUCUGGCAGCUCCUGCUUACAUG